rnacentral:rRNA from 1 species
ACGCUGGCGGCAGGCCUAACACAUGCAAGUCGAGCGGUAGCACAGAGAGCUUGCUCUCGGGUGACGAGCGGCGGACGGGUGAGUAAUGUCUGGGAAACUGCCUGAUGGAGGGGGAUAACUACUGGAAACGGUAGCUAAUACCGCAUAAUGUCGCAAGACCAAAGUGGGGGACCUUCGGGCCUCAUGCCAUCAGAUGUGCCCAGAUGGGAUUAGCUAGUAGGUGGGGUAACGGCUCACCUAGGCGACGAUCCCUAGCUGGUCUGAGAGGAUGACCAGCCACACUGGAACUGAGACACGGUCCAGACUCCUACGGGAGGCAGCAGUGGGGAAUAUUGCACAAUGGGCGCAAGCCUGAUGCAGCCAUGCCGCGUGUGUGAAGAAGGCCUUCGGGUUGUAAAGCACUUUCAGCGGGGAGGAAGGCGAUAAGGUUAAUAACCUUGUCGAUUGACGUUACCCGCAGAAGAAGCACCGGCUAACUCCGUGCCAGCAGCCGCGGUAAUACGGAGGGUGCAAGCGUUAAUCGGAAUUACUGGGCGUAAAGCGCACGCAGGCGGUCUGUCAAGUCGGAUGUGAAAUCCCCGGGCUCAACCUGGGAACUGCAUUCGAAACUGGCAGGCUAGAGUCUUGUAGAGGGGGGUAGAAUUCCAGGUGUAGCGGUGAAAUGCGUAGAGAUCUGGAGGAAUACCGGUGGCGAAGGCGGCCCCCUGGACAAAGACUGACGCUCAGGUGCGAAAGCGUGGGGAGCAAACAGGAUUAGAUACCCUGGUAGUCCACGCCGUAAACGAUGUCGAUUUGGAGGUUGUGCCCUUGAGGCGUGGCUUCCGGAGCUAACGCGUUAAAUCGACCGCCUGGGGAGUACGGCCGCAAGGUUAAAACUCAAAUGAAUUGACGGGGGCCCGCACAAGCGGUGGAGCAUGUGGUUUAAUUCGAUGCAACGCGAAGAACCUUACCUGGUCUUGACAUCCACAGAACUUUCCAGAGAUGGAUUGGUGCCUUCGGGAACUGUGAGACAGGUGCUGCAUGGCUGUCGUCAGCUCGUGUUGUGAAAUGUUGGGUUAAGUCCCGCAACGAGCGCAACCCUUAUCCUUUGUUGCCAGCGGUCCGGCCGGGAACUCAAAGGAGACUGCCAGUGAUAAACUGGAGGAAGGUGGGGAUGACGUCAAGUCAUCAUGGCCCUUACGACCAGGGCUACACACGUGCUACAAUGGCAUAUACAAAGAGAAGCGACCUCGCGAGAGCAAGCGGACCUCAUAAAGUAUGUCGUAGUCCGGAUUGGAGUCUGCAACUCGACUCCAUGAAGUCGGAAUCGCUAGUAAUCGUAGAUCAGAAUGCUACGGUGAAUACGUUC